AAAGAAAUGGACCUAAUCAGACACUUCUCCAAAGAUGAUGACAUAUGGAUGGCCAAUAGACAUCUGAAAAAAUGUUCAAGGUCACUAAUCAUUAGAGAUGCAAAUAAAAAUUAUAAUGAGGUAUCACCUCAUACCUGUCAGAAUAAAUACUAACAAUAAAACAACAAACAACAAGUGCUGGGGAGGAUGUGG